AUUUUGUUUUGUGAUACUCACGUGCAAGAAUGUUGUCAAGAUAUUGUUCGUGAGCUAAUGUAGUAACGAAAAUCAAUCGAAAAUCGAAAGCAAAAUGAUGCAGCACUUACCGCUUGCGAAGCCUGUAAACUGCUCCACUUACAGUCCAUAAGCUGUACCGAGCUGAUAUUCUGGUGUAACAAGAGCAAUUAAUGGCCAUAAACUACUUGCAAGCAUGGAAUAUGCUAAUCCCAUGAGAAUCAUACACACAUCUAUCAACAAGAUAUCCUAAAAUGGGGGAUGCAACAGCCGAUAUAGAAUAUACAAGGGAAUUAACUGUGUUUGCAUUUGAUGGCUGGAAUGCAUAUUUCCGUUCAAAGAAUACUCUAAGGAAAUAAGAUUAUAUAAUACAUGUAAAUAUGUAUAAUAUGAUUAUGAAACUUUCCUACUAUUCAUACUUACUUUCCUAAGGUGAUGAAUGGGAAUAUUGCGACAUAAUAAGCAAUACAGAUGAAAGCUAUUAACCAGAAUAUAGGCUUAAAGUCUUUGACAUCUGUUAGACUAACAACCUCGGUUUCUUGCCCUUCUCCUCUUCUUAAUAAUCUUGCCGCACGUUUAUCCAUGAUACCCAGUACACAUCCGCAAAUCAAAGAUCCCACACAAGUUAAAGAAGAUAGGAAAAGAAUAAUUCCAAUACAUUCAGGUCCUUUAUAAUACUGAGACACAAAUUGAUAGAUUGGUUCCAUGACCAAGAAAUUCACUGUUGAACCAAGUCUUGCAAAACUCAGUUGCAAGCCAAAUACCAUAUUGAGCUCUUUUCCUUUGAACCACAGUACAGCAUAAUUAUUUUGAGCAACUGCUAAUGAUUCUGAACCAAUACUGUAACAGGUAUUAAAGUUAAUUCCAAUAAUCUAUCAUAAGGAAUACACUACAUUAAAAAAACAUACCCAAAAACAAAUCGACCAAGCAUCAUAAGCCAAAAUGCAUUAAUUAUAGCUCCUGUUGCAAAUAUAAGUUGACCAAUUAAAGCAAGUCCCAUGUAUAUUAUUGUUCCUGCUCUAAUACCAAACACGCUGUCCAAUAAAAAUCCUCCAAUGAAACAAAGAAUCAUAUUUGGCCAUGAAUAAAUAGAAUACAAUAGCACAAAUCUGCUAGUUGACAUGCUUAGAUCAGAUUUCAUAUUGUCUUGUAAUGCGCUAGGAUUGUCAAAACAAAAGAAGGAACCUGAAAAAAUAUUAGAUUACAUUAACUGAUUUAAAAAAUAAAAGUGCACCCAUCAGCAAAUUACCCUAAGUAGAGUCAGUGACUUGAUUAUUUCAAUCAUGUUUGAAUUUUUGACAAAAUAAGUUUUAUAAUUCGAAUAAUUGAGCGUAGCGAACAUGUAUCCUGUAUUCUUUCGAAAUAAGCUUUAACAAUGCUUCGAUAUCGAAAUGUUACAAAAAACGACGAAAAAUAAAAUUUCGCGGGUGAAACAGUACUGACGCUCUGAUAUGUCUUAUCUCUGCCGCAUGUGCAGCACGAAAAGAACAUUAUACCCAACCUACAAAGACCGUAAGAAUAUCGCUGAAAUAUCACUAAAAUUGAUACUUCUGUGUUUGUGUCUUAUAAUUCUUCGUGCAUCCGUGAAAA